AUGGAGACUGAUCAGACACCACAGGAGCUACCUCCCCAGGCGAUGGAGGUGGUGAAUGCACUUGCGGUUGCUGAGGUUCCUGGGAUUGCGAAGGAGGCUGAGGUGGUUCAAGUGGCUGAUUCUGAGAGGGCAUCCAAGUACGCUCGGAAGAAAGAGAGAAUGCUUUGUUACCGGUGCGGAGAGAAGGGGCACUUCAUCGCGGAGUGUGUGGCCCAGCUGUGCGAAUCCUGUGGUAAGCCUGCGCAUGCUUCAGGGGAUUGUCCUUUGCUGAGGGACCAUAUUCCAGCUCUUACUGUAUAUGGUGUGUACUCUGCGGAGCUGAUGUUCUUCGAGUCAGCGGCUGCGAGGGAGAUCCCAGCUGAUACACAGAGCCUUACUUCUGGUUUGGUCAAGGUGACACAGGGAGAUGUCUCCCAGGCUCAGAUUGUGCAGAGACUUCAGGAGUUGGCUCCGGGUGAUUUUCAGUGGGACCUCGUACCCGUUGAGGAUAGAGUAUUCAGAGUGGAGUUUCCUUCGAUUGAGGACUUGCAGCGUUUGUUGAGCUUUGGGAUGUGUAAGGUGCCAGGCACCAAAGGUAUUUUGGAGUUCCACGAGUGGAAGAAAGUUGAGCCUAAGGGGAAGCCUCUUACUCAGGUGUGGCUGCGUUUCUCGGGGGCACCGUCUGAGGCUCUUUCUGAUGUGCGUGUGGUGGCUAGUUUGGGGAUUAUGGUUGGUAAGACGGAGAAAGUGGAUAUGGCGUUCACUAGAGCUCAGGGGGUGGCUCGACUGCGAGUUAGCAUUCUGGAUAUUGAGUAUGUCCCGGACGUCAUCAACUGGACCUAUAGAGGCGAGGUGUUUCCACUUGAUAUUGAGUUUGAGGAUGCAGAGUUGUUUGCUGAGGUUGCUGCUGGCACUGACGUGGAUAUGCACGAUGGGGGUGAUGAUACAGGUGCUCCCAGGGAGCAGGCGAAUGAGGCAGCACAGGAGCCCAAUGGAUCGGGGCCUGCUGCUCAGGAGCCGGAGAACGGAGCCGGGAUGGAGCAGUCCCCGGCUUCGUCUUUGCCUCAUAACUCACUGCGGUUUGGAUCUUUUCUGCCGUCGUCGGCGCCUCCUCGUCUGUGGAGUGAUCGGGUUGACUCUGACGAUGCGUUCGAGCAUUCGCUACCGGUCUUGGACUUUGGGCGGUCACCCCGGCAGUCGGCCAGCUUCAGUGCCCGUGUUGUUCAAGAGGUGGAGCCUCAGGAGUCGCCAGGGCGAUCUAGGUCUUCGGUUUCCUCGCGGAGGGGAGGGGCGUCUGGGCAGGUGGCCACGACUCCCUCUCAUUCUUCUGUUUCACAGCAGGCGGCGCAGGUACCUGUGUCCAGCCGGGGCGACAUAUCUUUGGGGCAGGAGGCCCUGGAGGUCCGUCUCGCGGGAGCCUUGUUGGUGGUGGGGUCGCCGGAGGUCCUGCAGGUGGAGCGCACGGCUGCUACGGCGUCGGCUGGGGGGGUCGGACUAGGGCAGGAGGCCCUGGUGCCAACUCCGUCAGGCAUCUCCACAUCUCCUACGCGGUCCCCCUCUCCCAGACCUACUCCGGGAGCCGCUACUCGGGAGGAGGUGAUCGCGUUCGGAGGGAUCCGAGACCCUGCUUCCGAGGGGAGGCGGACGAGCUCUCGUCUCCAGGACCUUCCGGAGGUUGAUGAUUUGCAGCAGAGGUGCGCUAUGCGGGCGGCCAAGCUGCGUGAUGUGGAGAGCACAACAGGUUAUCUUCCGUGCAACGGCUCUUAUCCGUUCCUGGUCGCUACUCACUCCGACGGAGGCCAGGGAGCUUUUGGUUACUGCUGCUAUCCGAUGGGAGAUGGUAGCUCGGGAUAUAUUCAGCCGGUUUGGAUGGCGGUCGUGUAA
rnacentral:rRNA from 1 species